AACGAACGCUGGCGGCAUGCCUAACACAUGCAAGUCGAACGAGACCUUCUGGUCUAGUGGCGCAAGGGUGCGUAACGCGUGGGAACCUUCCCUUAGGUUCGGAAUAACUCCCCGAAAGGGGUGCUAAUACCGGAUAAUGUCUUCGGACCAAAGAUUUAUCGCCUUUGGAUGGGCCCGCGUUGGAUUAGAUAGUUGGUAGGGUAAAAGACUACCAAGGCGAAGAUCCAUAGCUGGUAUGCGAGGAUGAUCAGCAACACUGGGACUGAGACACGGCCCAGACUACGAGGGGAGGCAGCAGGGGGGAAUAUGGGACAAGGGGAGAAAGGAUGAUGCAACAAUGCCGGGUGAGAGAUGAAGGACUGAGGGUUGUAAAGCUCUUUUACCCGGGAUGAUAAGGAGAGUACCGGGAGAAUAAGCUCCGGCUAACUCCGU
rnacentral:rRNA from 1 species